rnacentral:rRNA from 1 species
AUUGAACGCUGGCGGCAGGCCUAACCCCUGCACGUCGAGCGAGCGGCGGACGGGUGAGUAAUGUCUGGGGACUGCCCGAUGGAGGGGGAUAACUACUGGAAACGGUGGCUAAUACCGCAUACUGUCGGCUUACCCAUAUGGGAUUAGUUAGUAGGUAAGGUAAUGGCUUACCUAGUCACCGAUCCCUAGCUGGUCUGAAAGGAUGAUCAGUCACACGGGUAAGGAGACACGGCCCAGACUCCUACGGAGGCAGCAGUGGGGAAUAUUGCACAAUGGGCGCAAGCCUGAUGCAGCCAUGCCGCGUGUAUGAAGAAGGCCCUAGGUUUGUAAAGUACGUGCAGUCGGGAGGCGUUACCGACAGAAGAAGCACCGGCUAACUCCGUGCCAGCAGCCGCGGUAAUAC